AAACAAUAAGCCUGAAGUAUUACCCAACCCUUCCCACAAUAGUUGUGGGAAGGGUUGGGCAAUACUUCAGGCUUAUUGUAAA
rnacentral:pre_miRNA from 1 species